rnacentral:rRNA from 1 species
UUUGAUUUUCUUCGGAACUGAAGAUUAGGUGAUUGAGUGGCGGACGGGUGAGUAACGCGUGGGUAACCUACCCUGUACAGGGGGAUAACAGUCAGAAAUGGCUGCUAAUACCGCAUAAGACCACAGCACCGCAUGGUGCAGGGGUAAAAACUCCGGUGGUACAGGAUGGACCCGCGUCUGAUUAGCUGGUUGGUGAGGUAACGGCUCACCAAGGCGACGAUCAGUAGCCGGCUUGAGAGAGUGAACGGCCACAUUGGGACUGAGACACGGCCCAAACUCCUACGGGAGGCAGCAGUGGGGAAUAUUGCACAAUGGGGGGAACCCUGAUGCAGCGACGCCGCGUGAGUGAAGAAGUAUCUCGGUAUGUAAAGCUCUAUCAGCAGGGAAGAAAAUGACGGUACCUGACUAAGAAGCCCCGGCUAACUACGUGCCAGCAGCCGCGGUAAUACGUAGGGGGCAAGCGUUAUCCGGAAUUACUGGGUGUAAAGGGUGCGUAGGUGGUAUGGCAAGUCAGAAGUGAAAACCCAGGGCUUAACUCUGGGACUGCUUUUGAAACUGUCAGACUGGAGUGCAGGAGAGGUAAGCGGAAUUCCUAGUGUAGCGGUGAAAUGCGUAGAUAUUAGGAGGAACAUCAGUGGCGAAGGCGG